GAUCUUGGUUCAGGAUGAACGCUAGCUACAGGCUUAACACAUGCAAGUCGAGGGGUAGCAGGGUCUAGCAAUAGAUCGCUGACGACCGGCGCACGGGUGAGUAACACGUAUCCAACCUUCCGUUUACUCGGGGAUAGCCUUUCGAAAGAAAGAUUAAUACCCGAUAGUAUGCUUUUCCCGCAUGGGGGAAUCAUUAAAGUUUUUCGGUAAUCGAUGGGGAUGCGUUCCAUUAGGCAGUUGGUGAGGUAACGGCUCACCAAACCUUCGAUGGAUAGGGGUUCUGAGAGGAAGGUCCCCCACAUUGGAACUGAGACACGGUCCAAACUCCUACGGGAGGCAGCAGUGAGGAAUAUUGGUCAAUGGACGAGAGUCUGAACCAGCCAAGUAGCCGUGAAGGAUGACUGCCCUAUGGGUUGUAAACUUCUUUUAUAUGGGAAUAAAGGAGCCUACGUGUAGGUUUUUGUAUGUACCAUACGAAUAAGGAUCGGCUAACUCCGUGCCAGCAGCCGC
rnacentral:rRNA from 1 species